GGUAUGUCUGUGUUGACAGGAUGUAGGAGGUGGUAUGUCUGUGUUGACAGGAUGUUGGAGGUGGUAUGUCUGUGUUGACAGGAUGUAGGAGGUGGUAUGUCUGUGUGUUGACAGGAUGUUGGAGGUGGUAUGUCUGUGUUGACAGGAUGUUGGAGGUGGUAUGUCUGUGUUAACAGGAUGUUGGAGGUGGUAUGUCUGUGUGUUGACAGGAUGUUGGAGGUGGUAUGUCUGUGUUGAUAGGAUGUUGGAGGUGGU